rnacentral:misc_RNA from 1 species
AAAAAAUAUACUUCACUGAAGAGACCUGGAACGUGUUGCAAUUCAUGGAUUAUUUUAAGUGUUGUUCGCUGUCCAGUGUUUUUUUCUGGAUCAUUUCAAAUGCAGUGAAUAUCUGUGGAAUAUAAAAUAUAAAGACUUUAAUUUACAAAAAUACUUCGGUUUUAAGUAAAUUGAAGAUUCCUUUAAGGAAAUGUUUAAUUAUUGGUUGGUAAUACCACAAUUUAUUUUCAAAAAUUCAUUAUACAGGAUGUGAUACAGUUUGCUCUGUAUAGUUAAUUAUUCUGUCAUCUAGAAAAGGAGAGGGAACUUUUUUAUACCAGUCCUGUUUUAUAUUUCAACAAGGUAACAAGUUUUACCAAUGUAGAAGAUGGACACAGAUUCCAAACGUUUUGAAGACGCCGGCAAUAGAGUCGAACGUGGUAUGGGUAUUUCCCAAAAAGUCUUGUACCAUUCUCGUCCAGUUUCUUCGCAGCCUUGUCCACAGCCUUUCGAAGCCGAGGGUCGCUCACCUCAAAGUCAACAUCGUCCAGACCCUCCAUCAUCUCGCUGUCAUCGCUUAGGACGCUUCCAGACGAAGCCAGGCGUUCGCGAGGAGGCGAGGAUCUGGAGCUCAUCAUCGUUUUUUUAUAUUAUAAAGUUCUGAAACUACCGCACGCUAAGGCACAUUGGACUAUUGAGGUGACUCACUCUACCUUAACUUUUGGACGGCUACCAACUUAUAAAGAAAACAAAAAAACAUCUCCAAAGUUGACGUUUAGAACUUCUUCCAACAACUCGGAUCAGGAUAAAAAAGACUUUUUGUUAUAAUGUGAUUUUGUUCUUCGUUGAUCUACAUAAUUUGCCUGUUAUUAUAUAGUGACGAAAAUUAAUCGUACAAUCACCGUCUGUGACACAGAACUUCAUGUGAUUUUUGAACGAGGCCCCACGGGGAUUCAUAUGGAGAAAGAAUCAGUUUCCUUUGCUGAAGGGAUUUAAAUUUCCGUUCACUCAAGACCGGAAUAAGCACGUUUGCUCUACCACUGCACAGCAAGGACGGUUAGAUGAGCGUUUCCUUGUUCUCUGAAUAUUUCUCUUAUUAGCCAUUAAAUAACAAGUAUCAACUAUUUACUGCAUUUUUAUCAAUAUAUAACUGCAUUUCGUUUGUGUAAGGAUUAUGAUUAACGUUUGAAAAUAAAGCGCUAAAUAUA